AAUAUAUUUAUUUUGUUUUCAGAUUGAGGAUGCAUUCAAUGCAGUCAUUGGACUUAUAAUGAGUAAAGACAGUCCAAGAAGUGAUCCACAAGACAGUAUCAUUAUUGAUCAGAACAGAGGUCGGUCGGAGAGGUCAGAUCGUUGUGCUUGCUAAUUGAAAGACACUAUUUUAAGUGUGGAUACUUCAUUUUUUUGUAUAAAUCAUUAUUAUUGAAAAAAAAACAUUAACAUUAA